UGUAAGCGUAUACCAAAGUUGUUGCAGUUAAAACGCUCGUAGUCGGACUUUGGCAGUUCCGGAUGUGUGCACGUCGUGUGCGCACUUCGCGGGGAUUGCUUUUGUGGUCUUGCGUAGGAUGAGGCACUUUUAUUAGUGAACGUCCUCACGCAACCACUUUUUACUGUGAGAAAAUCAGAGUGCUCAAAGCAGGCAUUUGCCGUGAAUGUAUUAGCAUGGAAUAAUAGAAUAGGACUUGGUUCUAUUUUGUUGGUUUGUUGGGACUGAGUAAUGAUUAAGAGGGACAGUUGGGGGCAUUUGUAUUUCGGUGCUAGAGGUGAAAUUCUUAGAUUACCGAAAGACAAACUGCUGCGAAAGCGUCUGCCAAGGAUGUUUUCAUUAA
rnacentral:rRNA from 1 species